AUGGUCAAUGUACCUAAAACCCGAAGAACUUUCUGUAAGAAGUGUGGCAAGCACUAGCCUCACAAAGUGACACAGUAUAAGAAAGGCAAGGAUUCUCUGUAUGCCCAGGGAAAGAGAUUCUAUGAUCGGAAGCAGAGUGGCUAUGGUGGGCAGACAAAGCCAAUUUUCUGGAAGAAGGCCAAGACUACAAAGAAGAUUAUUGUAUUAAGGCUGGAAUGUGUUGAGCCUAACUGCAGAUACAAGAGGAUGCUGGUCAUUAAGAGAUGCAAGCAUUUUGAACAGGGAGGAGAUAAGAAGAGAAAGGGCCAAGUGAUCCAGUUCUGAGCUUUGGGAUUUUUUUUUUUUUUGAGAUGGGGAUGUUAAAGCUGUAGAAAAAUUACUUGCAGGAAAAUAAAUACAGUGAUAUUUUCACUCA